rnacentral:rRNA from 1 species
AUUGAACGCUGGCGGCAGGCCUAACACAUGCAAGUCGAACGAGUGGCGGACGGGUGAGUAAUGUCUGGGAAACUGCCUGAUGGAGGGGGAUAACUACUGGAAACGGUAGCUAAUACCGCAUACCAUCGGAUGUGCCCAGAUGGGAUUAGCUUGUGGGUGGGGUAACGGCGCACCAACGCGACGAUCCCUAGCUGGGCUGAGAGGAUGACCAGCCACACUGGAACUGAGACACGGUCCAGACUCCUACGGGAGGCAGCAGUGGGGAAUAUUGCACAAUGGGCGCAAGCCGGAUGCAGCCAUGCCGCGUGUAUGAGGAAGGCCUUCGGGUUGUAAAGUACUUUCAGCGUGGAGGCGUUACGCGGAGAAGAAGCACCGGCUAACUCCGUGCCAGCAGCCGCGGUAAUAG